AUUGAACGCUGGCGGAAUGCUUUACACAUGCAAGUCGAACGGCAGCACGGGGCAACCUGGUGGCGAGUGGCGAACGGGUGAGUAAUAUAUCGGAACGUGCCCAAUCGUGGGGGAUAACGUAGCGAAAGUUACGCUAAUACCGCAUACGAUCUACGGAUGAAAGCGGGGGAUCGCAAGACCUCGCGUGAAUGGAGCGGCCGAUAUCAGAUUAGGUAGUUGGUGGGGUAAAGGCUCACCAAGCCAACGAUCUGUAGCUGGUCUGAGAGGACGACCAGCCACACUGGAACUGAGACACGGUCCAGACUCCUACGGGAGGCAGCAGUGGGGAAUUUUGGACAAUGGGCGCAAGCCUGAUCCAGCAAUGCCGCGUGCAGGAUGAAGGCCCUCGGGUUGUAAACUGCUUUUGUACGGAGCGAAACGGCUCUCUCUAAUACAGGGGCUAAUGACGGUACCGUAAGAAUAAGCACCGGCUAACUACGUGCCAGCAGCCGAC
rnacentral:rRNA from 1 species